AGAGUUUGAUCCUGGCUCAGAACGAACGCUGGCGGCGUGCUUAACACAUGCAAGUCGAACGCGAAAGGGGCUUCGGUCCCGAGUAGAGUGGCGCACGGGUGAGUAACGCGUAAGUAAUCUACCCCCGCAUUCGGAAUAACUCGUCGAAAGGUGAGCUAAUACCGGAUACGUUUAUCUUGAUGCGAAUGAUGAUAAAGAAAGGUGGCCUCUUCAUGAAAGCUACUGUGCAGGGAUGAGCUUGCGUACCAUUAGCUAGUUGGUAGGGUAAUGGCCUACCAAGGCGACGAUGGUUAGCGGGUCUGAGAGGAUGAUCCGCCACACUGGAACUGGAACACGGACCAGACUCCUACGGGAGGCAGCAGUGAGGAAUAUUGCGCAAUGGGGGCAACCCUGACGCAGCGACGCCGCGUGGAUGAUGAAGGCCCUUGGGUCGUAAAAUCCUGUCAGAUGGAAAGAAAUGUAUGGGUGUUAAUAUCGCCUGUAUUUGACGGUACCAUCAAAGGAAGCACCGGCUAACUCCGUGCCAGCAGCCGCGGUAAUACGGAGGGUGCGAGCGUUGUUCGGAAUUACUGGGCGUAAAGCGCGCGUAGGCGGUUUGCUAAGUCAGAUGUGAAAGCCCUCGGCUUAACCGGGGACGUGCAUUUGAAACUGGCAGACUUGAGUACUGGAGGGGGUGGUGGAAUUCCCGGUGUAGAGGUGAAAUUCGUAGAUAUCGGGAGGAAUACCAGUGGCGAAGGCGACCACCUGGCCAGAUACUGACGCUGAGGUGCGAAAGCGUGGGGGAGCAAACAGGAUUAGAU
rnacentral:rRNA from 1 species